CCUAGGGGGGGCUGUAGUGGGGAAUAUUGGACAAUGGGCGAAAGCCUGAUCCAGCCAUGCCGCGUGUGUGAAGAAGGCCUUCGGGUUGUAAAGCACUUUCAGUGGGGAAGAAAGCCUUGGGGCUAAUACCCUCGAGGAAGGACAUCACCCACAGAAGAAGCACCGGCUAACUCCGUGCCAGCAGCCGCGGUAAUACGGAGGGUGCGAGCGUUAAUCGGAAUUACUGGGCGUAAAGCGCGCGUAGGCGGUCUGAUAAGCCGGUUGUGAAAGCCCCGGGCUCAACCUGGGAACGGCAUCCGGAACUGUCAGGCUAGAGUGCAGGAGAGGAAGGUAGAAUUCCCGGUGUAGCGGUGAAAUGCGUAGAGAUCGGGAGGAAUACCAGUGGCGAAGGCGGCCUUCUGGACUGACACUGACGCUGAGGUGCGAAAGCGUGGGUAGCAAACAGGAUUAGAUACCCCAGUAGU
rnacentral:rRNA from 1 species